GCCUGGCUAGCUCAAUGGCUAGAGCGUUUGACUUUUAAGAUCAUUAGAACUUAAGGGGUAUCAAAAGGUUGCGGGUUCGACCCCCGCGUCGGGCU
rnacentral:tRNA from 1 species